rnacentral:rRNA from 1 species
UACGGGGGGGGCAAGCGUUGUUCGGAAUUACUGGGCGUAAAGGGCUCGUAGGUGGCCAACUAAGUCAGACGUGAAAUCCCUCGGCUUAACCGGGGAACUGCGUCUGAUACUGGAUGGCUUGAGUUCGGGAGAGGGAUGCGGAAUUCCAGGUGUAGCGGUGAAAUGCGUAGAUAUCGAGAGGAACACCUGCGGCGAAGGCGGGUAGCUGGGCCGACACUGACGCUGAGGCGCGAAAGCCAGGGGAGCGAACGGG